GGCCUCCUGGUGCUUACCACAGGCUGUGUUAUUACGCUGACUAUACAGGAAGAGGAGGCAAAGCAAAUCUACCCCAUAUAUCUCCAUAUAUACCAGGUCCUGCACCUGGUCUGUAUUGUGAAUGGGGAGAAAAAU
rnacentral:snoRNA from 1 species